UACGUAGGGGGCAAGCGUUGUCCGGAUUUAUUGGGCGUAAAGAGCGUGUAGGCGGCCAGGUAGGUCUGCUGUGAAAACUCGAGGCUUAACCUCGAGAUGUCGGCGGAAACCAUCUGGCUAGAGUCCGGAAGAGGAGAAUGGAAUUCCUGGUGUAGCGGUGAAAUGCGCAGAUAUCAGGAAGAACACCCGUGGCUAAGGCGGCUCUCUAGUACGGUACUGACGCUGAGACGCGAAAGCGUGGGGAGCGAACAGG
rnacentral:rRNA from 1 species